rnacentral:tRNA from 1 species
AAAUAAAUAUCUAAAUUAAGUAUAUCAUUUACAAUGAUAAGAUGUUAUAAAAUUUUAACUUUAUUUA